rnacentral:rRNA from 1 species
CGGCGGACGGGUGAGUAACGCGUGGGUAACCUACCCUGUACACACGGAUAACAUACCGAAAGGUAUGCUAAUACGGGAUAAUAUAUUUGAGAGGCAUCUCUUAAAUAUCAAAGGUGAGCCAGUACAGGAUGGACCCGCGUCUGAUUAGCUAGUUGGUAAGGUAACGGCUUACCAAGGCGACGAUCAGUAGCCGACCUGAGAGGGUGAUCGGCCACAUUGGAACUGAGACACGAUCCAA